CGGGGCGUGGCGCAGCCAGGUAGCGCACGUGACUGGGGGUCACGGGGUCGCUGGUUCAAAUCCAGUCGCCCCGACUA
rnacentral:tRNA from 1 species